AUUGAACGCUGGCGGCAGGCCUAACACAUGCAAGUCGAACGGUAACAGGAAGAAGCUUGCUUCUUUGCUGACGAGUGGCGGACGGGUGAGUAAUGUCUGGGAAACUGCCUGAUGGAGGGGGAUAACUACUGGAAACGGUAGCUAAUACCGCAUAACGUCGCAAGACCAAAGAGGGGGACCUUCGGGCCUCUUGCCAUCGGAUGUGCCCAGAUGGGAUUAGCUAGUAGGUGGGGUAACGGCUCACCUAGGCGACGAUCCCUAGCUGGUCUGAGAGGAUGACCAGCCACACUGGAACUGAGACACGGUCCAGACUCCUACGGGAGGCAGCAGUGGGGAAUAUUGCACAAUGGGCGCAAGCCUGAUGCAGCCAUGCCGCGUGUAUGAAGAAGGCCUUCGGGUUGUAAAGUACUUUCAGCGGGGAGGAAGGGAGUAAAGUUAAUACCUUUGCUCAUUGACGUUACCCGCAGAAGAAGCACCGGCUAAUUCCGUG
rnacentral:rRNA from 1 species